rnacentral:rRNA from 1 species
AGCGAACGCUGGCGGCAGGCCUAACACAUGCAAGUCGAACGAACUCUUCGGAGUUAGUGGCGGACGGGUGAGUAACACGUUGGAACGUGCCUUUAGGUUCUGAAUAACUCAGGGAAACUUGUGCUAAUACCUAAUUUGCCCUUCGGGGGAAAGAUUUAUCGCCUUUAGAGCGGCCCGCGUCUGAUUAGCUAGUUGGUGAGGUAAAGGCUCACCAAGGCGACGAUCAGUAGCUGGUCUGAGAGGAUGAUCAGCCACAUUGGGACUGAGACACGGCCCAAACUCCUACGGGAGGCAGCAGUGGGGAAUCUUGCGCAAUGGGCGAAAGCCUGACGCAGCCAUGCCGCGUGAAUGAUGAAGGUCUUAGGAUUGUAAAAUUCUUUCACCGGGGACGAUAAUGACGGUACCCGGAGAAGAAGCCCCGGCUAACUUCGUG